rnacentral:rRNA from 1 species
CCUACGGGAGGCAGCAGUGAGGAAUAUUGGUCAAUGGACGCAAGUCUGAACCAGCCAUGCCGCGUGCAGGAAGACGGCUCUAUGAGUUGUAAACUGCUGUUGUACGAGGGUAAACGCAGAUACGCGUAUCUGUCUGAAAGUAGCGUACGAAUAAGGAUCGGCUAACUCCGUGCCAGCAGCCGCGGUAAUACGGAGGAUUCAAGCGUUAUCCGGAUUUAUUGGGUUUAAAGAGUGCGUAGGCGGUCGGAUAAGUUAGAGGUGAAAGCCCGGGGCUCAACUUCGGAAUUGCCUCUGAUACUGUUCGGCUAGAGCGUAGUUGCGGUAGGCGGAAUGUCUGGUGUAGCGGUGAAAUGCUUAGAUAUCAUGCAGAACACCGAUUGCGAAGGCAGCUUACCAAGCUACUUCUGACGUUGAGGCACGAAAGCGUGGGGAGCAAACAGGAUUAGAUACCCGGGUAGUC